GACGGGGGAUGCAAGCGUUAUCCGGAAUCACUGGGCGUAAAGCGUCUGUAGGUGGUGAUGCAAGUCACUGGUGCAAAACUCUGGCUCAACCGGAGGAAAGCCAGUGAAACUGCAUGACUAGAGUGUGGGAGAGGUAGAAGGAAUUCCCUGAGUAGCGGUGAAAUGCGUAGAUACAGGGAAGAACACCGGAGGCGAAAGCGUCCUACUGGAACACAACUGACGCUGAGAGCCGAAAGCUAGGGGAGCGAAUGGG
rnacentral:rRNA from 1 species